rfam:Otolemur garnettii contig093468, whole genome shotgun sequence.
GUUGGGCACAGUGCUGGGUGCCUAUCAUCCCAGCUAUUCGGGAGGCUGAAGUAGGAGGAUCUCUUGAGCUCAGAAUUCUGGGUCGUAGUGUGCCAUGCUGAUCAGGAGUCCACACUAAAUUCAGCAUCAACACAGCGACCUCCUGGGAGCAAGGGACCUCCAGCUUCCCCACAGGAGAGGUGAACCAGCUCAAGUUGAAAACAGAGCAGGUCCGAACUCCUGUGAUAUCACACCUGUGAGUAAUUACUGCACCCCAGCCUGUAUAACGUAGCCCGACCCCAUGUCUA